rnacentral:lncRNA from 1 species
CUUUUCAAAAUGGACAGCUAGAUCCUAUGACCGUUCUCCUGGACGAAAAUUCAUUGAUGGGGCAGCUCACACACAAAGAAAUCCUUUCUCUUUCCUCUCCUUUUCGUGCACCAACAUUGCUUUCCUUUUUACUGCCUAGUGAUCCAAAAAUCCAUAAAACCUCAGAACAAACAGAAAAUGCCAGUUGCCAUUCUCUUCCUUCCCCAAUGCUAUUGAAGGAGGACUCCACUUAUUUGUGAACAGUUACCCCGUCCUUUAAGCUGCUCAAUUAGCCCUAGAGAAAGCCCCAAGGUUUUGAAACUGAGAGCUAAAAGUGGUGACCAUGGACUGGUUGUCGUUUUCACACCACUUACUUUACCUUGAUCAUUGACGUCAUGGGAAAGACAAACAACAUUUAUAGACUCCAUUACAGAACAUAAGAAAAGGUUAAAUUGAUGAAAGAGGAUAGGUGAAAAAUCCUCUUUGUUGGCAUUUUCUAAAACAUUUAACUAUGAGAAUCUUCAAAUCUAGUCAUAUAAAUAGUAAGAUUGAACAGAUCAAUCAUUUUAUCUCUAGAUCUACCAUGACUUAGAACGAAGAGAGAUUGUUGAAUCUCGUUGCAGUAGAGAGACGAAACAGCGAGAGAAUGGGAGCUGUCGCCAGGGGAAGAGCCAAUGGCUAGUCUGAUACUAAUGUAAGCCUUCUAACUCGGUGAGUUUCUAGAGUUAGAAGAUUAAGACGUAUCCUUGGCUAUGAAGCUAUGAUACAACUUUAUGCGAGGUUCUUGACAUGUGAUUUGAGAAGAUUAGUGGAAACUUUGUUUAGUGAAGUUUGGAUAUUACUAGUAGAAAGAUAUCUAGAGUGAAAUUAGUUCUUUGGCUUUUAUCUUUGAUUCUCUAAUCUCGAUGUGUUUGUGCUGUUAAAAAACAUGAGCAGGGUAAAAAUAGUGAAUAUGAGUGAGCCUGACCCUGUUAUCACUAUUUAGAAUAGGAAUCCCAUUGGCAAAUAAUCCCAGGUAAGCUUCAAAUCAAGCCAAAAAUUAUCUUCAGAUGUGGUCCAGUCUCAGCUUGGUCAUGGAGAGGGGGUUGCUGAUUCACCUCUCUAGCUGAUUCUAUUGUUGCAGAAUCAGACACCAUUUUCAGCGGAUGCUAUCUUCCUCUUUUUUUUUUUUUUUUUGUUGUGUUGUUUUUCAUAUCACCAUUUUGUUUUUGUAUACCCCUGGUCCGUCUAGUCAAUUCUAUGGAAAAUACUCCUACAUAUAUUUGACCUACUUACUAUUUAGAGAGUGAAUUCUUCUCAUAGAAGAAGCCUUAUAGAUGGGCUAACAAAUCUUCCUAACAGGCAGUAGCGUCCAGCUCUUAAACUUUGAUUCACUCUAAUGGCUUGUAUCAGGUUCUGUCCAUGCAUCAGAUUCUGCAUUUUCAUUUUCACAUGGUGAUGAGCGAAUGAUUUUUGCUUGAAACAUUCCUCUGCUCGUUCUGCUAACAAUGCUUAGUUCAUUUUCUUGACUGUAGGGCGAGUUGGCCAAGCACUCAAGGGAAUACUAAUCCAUUCGGCAGUGAUUUUUGGCUCUCAACAAUGGUGCUUCGUACAGUUUCCUAGUUAUGUGUAGGCUAGGAGUUUGUGUUGUCAAAUCUUCGUCUUUAUGUAUGUUGGACUAACUACUACAAUUUGUCUUGGGCGGUUAGCCCAGGCUUCUUGCAAUGUUGACAAGCUGUACUUUGAAGGUCUGCUUUAUGCCUCAAAAGUUUUAGGUUUAAAAACGCUUGUGCAUGUUGGUAAAUCUUAUAGGUGAUCAGCUAAGUUGAUAUCGGCACAUUUGGCAAACUUUUUGUAUCUAUAUAUGAUUUUAGUUUGGUUUUUAAUUAUUUUAACAGCUGUUAACUUUAAAGAAGUUUCAAUUCUCUACAA